rnacentral:rRNA from 1 species
AAUGAACGCUGGCGGCGUGCCUAACACAUGCAAGUCGUACGAGAAAUCCCGAGCUUGCUUGGGAGAGUAAAGUGGCGCACGGGUGAGUAACGCGUGGGUAACCCACCCUCGAAUCUGGGAUAACUCCGCGAAAGCGGUGCUAAUACCGGAUAAGACCACAUUCCGUUCGCGGAAAGAGGUAAAAGCUGACCUCUCCAUGGAAGUUAGCGUUUGAGGACGGGCCCGCGUCCUAUCAGCUUGUUGGUGGGGUAAUGGCCUACCAAGGCAGCGACGGGUAGCUGGUCUGAGAGGAUGAUCAGCCACACUGGAACUGGAACACGGUCCAGACUCCUACGGGAGGCAGCAGUGAGGAAUUUUGCGCAAUGGGGGAAACCCUGACGCAGCAACGCCGCGUGGGUGAAGAAGGCUUUCGGGUCGUAAAGCCCUGCCAGGUGGGAAGAAACUCUUCAGUACUAAUAAUGCUGAAGCCUGACGGUACCACCAGAGGAAGCACCGGCCAACUCCGUG